AUUGAACGCUGGCAGCAGGCUUAACACAUGCAAGUCGAGCGGGGGAGGUUACUUCGGUAACUGACCUAGCGGCGGACGGGUGAGUAAUGCUUAGGAAUCUGCCUAUUAGUGGGGGACAACAUUCCGAAAGGAAUGCUAAUACCGCAUACGUCCUACGGGGGAAAGCAGGGGAUCUUCGGACCUUGCGCUACUAGAUGAGCCUAAGUCGGAUUAGCUAGUUGGUGGGGUAAAGGCCUACCAAGGCGACGAUCUGUAGCGGGUCUGAGAGGAUGAUCCGCCACACUGGGACUGAGACACGGCCCAGACUCCUACGGGAGGCAGCAGUGGGGAAUAUUGGACAAUGGGGGGAACCCUGAUCCAGCCAUGCCGCGUGUGAAGAAGGCCUUUUGGUUGUAAAGCACUUUAAGCGAGGAGGAGGCUCCUUUAGUUAAUACCUAAAGAGAGUGGACGUUACUCGCAGAAUAAGCACCGGCUAACUCUGUGCCAGCCGCCGCAGUAA
rnacentral:rRNA from 1 species